CAGAAGCAAGGCUUAAAGGCUCUCCAGCUGUGCUUUACCCAAGCAUGCCUGUCUACUUGAUCCAAGAGGCUGGAAGAGUCAUGCACUCUACUGCAUCUCUGCUUGUCAAGGUAAUGGUUAAAAGUGACAGAAAAAAAUGAGCAAACAUGUUUCCUUUGGAAGUUCUCUGCGCAAGGAGCAAAGACCUACUGCCUCCUCCUUCAGACAGAAGUGGAAUUAUUAUUACACUGAGUAAUUUCAUUCAGGUGAGCAACAUGUUUAGUUUUAUAAAAAUCUCUUUUGAUAUGUGGAAAAUGAAUGAGAGGAAGAAAGGGAGUUGGCAAAAAGUUAGAAAAGAUUGCAACAGCUGUGGAGAGGAGUCGUGGCUUAGACUUGGGUAGUAUCAAAUGUAGAAUCUGGAUGAAUUUCAGAGAAUUCUUUUAAUGGUAGCGUAGAAAGAACUUGGUUAUUGAUGAGGUGUUAGGGUGAGAGAAUAGAGAAUAGCAUACUCGUGAUUGAUAUUCAGAUGUUUUGGGCAGUGCAUUGAUCUCUAGAAUAUAAAUUCCAAGAAGGCAAGGAUUUUCAUCUGUUUUGUUCACUGAUGUAUCACAAGUUCCUAGAAUAAUACCUAGCAAAUAGUAUGUGAUCUAUAAAUAUUAAUGAAUAACAGUGAAUGAGGAACAGACUGGAGCUAUAGGGGACACAUUGGAUUCAUUUAUCUUGACUUUUGAAAUAAAGUAAGCAUCUAAGCUGAAAUAUAUGGUAAG
rnacentral:lncRNA from 1 species